rnacentral:rRNA from 1 species
UACGUAGGGUGCAAGCGUUAAUCGGAAUUACUGGGCGUAAAGCGUGCGCAGGCGGUUCGUUAAGUUCGAUGUGAAAGCCCCGGGCUCAACCUGGGAACUGCAUUGGAAACUGGCGAGCUUGAGUAUGGCAGAGGGGGGUGGAAUUCCGCGUGUAGCAGUGAAAUGCGUAGAGAUGCGGAGGAACACCGAUGGCGAAGGCAGCCCCCUGGGCCAAUACUGACGCUCAUGCACGAAAGCGUGGGGAGCAAACAGG